rnacentral:rRNA from 1 species
AUUGAACGCUGGCGGCAGGCCUAACACAUGCAAGUAGAACGAGUGGCGGACGGGUGAGUACUGUCUGGGAAACUGCCUGAUGGAGGGGGAUAACUAAUGGAAAAGGUAGCUAAUACCGAAAACCAUUAGCUGUGCCCAGAUGGGAUUAGCUUGUUGGUGGGGUAACGUCUCACCAAGGCGACGAUCCCUAGCUGGUCUGAGAUGAUGACCAGCCACACUGGAACGGCGACACGGUCCAGACUCCAACGGGAGGCAGCAGUGGGGAAUAUUGCACAAUGGGCGCAAGCCUGAUGCAUCCAUGCCGCGUGUAUGAAGAAGGCCUUCGGGUUGUAAAGUACUUUCAGCGGGGAGGCGUUACCCUCAGAAGAAGCACCGGCUAACUCCGUGCCAGCAGCCGCGGUAAGAC